GGACAGAUGGCCGAGCGGUCUAAGGCGCUACGUUCAGGUUGCUUCUGCUGUUGGUCCUACUACCAGCUGGCCCCCAGUUUCGUAGUCUCGCAAGAGGCGUGGGUUCGAAUCCCACUCUGUUCA